rnacentral:rRNA from 1 species
UAGGGAAUCUUCGGCAAUGGACGGAANUUUGGACCGAGCAACGCCGGCGUGAGUGAAGAAGGUUUUCGGAUCGUAAAGCUCUGUUGUAAGAGAAGAACGAGUGUGAGAGUGGAAAGUUCACACUGUGACGGUAUCUUACCAGAAAGGGACGGCUAACUACGUGCCAGCAGCCGCGGUAAUACGUAGGUCCCGAGCGUUGUCCGGAUUUAUUGGGCGUAAAGCGAGCGCAGGCGGUUAGAUAAGUCUGAAGUUAAAGGCUGUGGCUUAACCAUAGUAGGCUUUGGAAACUGUUUAACUUGAGUGCAAGAGGGGAGAGUGGAAUUCCAUGUGUAGCGGUGAAAUGCGUAGAUAUAUGGAGGAACACCGGUGGCGAAAGCGGCUCUCUGGCUUGUAACUGACGCUGAGGCUCGAAAGCGUGGGGAGCAAACAGGAUUAGAUACCCUGGUAGUCCACGCUGUAAACGAUGAGUGCUAGGUGUUAGACCCUUUCCGGGGUUUAGUGCCGUAGCUAACGCAUUAAGCACUCCGCCUGGGGAGUACGACCGCAAGGUUG